rnacentral:rRNA from 1 species
GACGAACGCUGGCGGCGUGCUUAACACAUGCAAGUCGAACGGAGUGGCGAACGGGUGCGUAUUACGUGAGUAACCUGCCCUCAACUGUGGGAUAAGCCUGGGAAACUGGGUCUAAUACUGCAUAGUUGGGGAUGGGCUCGUGGCGUAUCAGCUUGUUGGUGGGGUGAUGGCCUACCAAGGCGGUGACGGGUAGCCGGCCUGAGAGGGUGGUCGGCCACAUUGGGACGGAGAUACGGCCCAGACUCCUACGGGGGGCAGAAGUGGGGGAUAUUGCACAAUGGGGGAACGCCUGAUGCGGGGGCGCCGCGUAGGGGAUGAAGGCUUUCGGGUGGUAAACCUCUUGCGGUACAGAACGGGUAUGUGUAGAAGAAGCGCCGGCUAACUACGUGCCAGCAGCCGCGGUAAUUC